rnacentral:lncRNA from 1 species
CCUGCUGCCAUCCAUGUAAGACGUGACUUGCUCCUCCUUGCCUUCUGCCAUGAUUGUGAAGCCUCCCCAGCCACUUGGAACUGAAGCAAACACUGCCAUUGCCACCGUUUUGCAGAUGAAGGUACUGAGAGUGAAGCAACUUGCCCAAACCUGACAAAAAUAACAGGCCAUAGCAUCAACAGCAGUGUCAAGAGCAUCAUAGCAUCGGGUGAUGACGGACAGAUGCCUCUGCUGCAGAGUUAUGCCCCCGCCCCAACACUCAGUUGGCAAUCAUCUGGAGAAGUCUGUCACAAUGGUCCCUGUCAACUUUUCUUUUAGUGGUUUCAGCAUCUGUCAAAAGUUCUUAUUUGAAUUUGCAUCCUAUCAAGGGCUGCAAAAUGGUGACUUUCUGACCAUAUUAUUGCAUCUACAUUCACAGCUGACGUUCUUCAAUAAAGAAAAGUUUUCCUUCAUCAAGUGGAACUAUGUAGUUAUGCUGAAAUUCAGUGUCUUCUAGAAAGACAUUAAAUCUUUAAUUAUUUUUAAUUCUCAAUUCUCAGAAUAACCAAUUCAUGUAAUAAUCACCUCCAGUAAUGGCAAAUGAGUUUUGUUUUGGAAGACAUUCUCUUUUCUGAGUUUAAUUAUAUACUUGUGGAGUUUUAUACAUUCAUAGUCAUUUUUAAAUGCUCAGGUUGUCUCACACUUGCAACUAUGUACUCUUCAACUAGAAUGCUACUAAACCCAGAUUAGGGCCUAGAUUAAA